AUUUGACCAGAGCUCUAUGGGAAUAAGGUGCCAUUUGACCAGAGCUCUAUGGGAAUAAGGUGCCAUUUGACCAGAGCUCUAUGGGAAUAAGGUGCCAUUUGACCAGAGCUCUAUGGGAAUAAGGUUCCAUUUGGGACGUGUCAUUUUCUACUUCAGUAGUACUUUUCUUUUCUCUGACAUCAUCAGUUUAGCUGCUUGAGGCUGGAUGACUAGAACAACUAGCUAGCCCACUUGUCUGGACGUCCAUUAG